rnacentral:rRNA from 1 species
CCUACGGGAGGCAGCAGUGAGGAAUAUUGGUCAAUGGGCGCGAGGCUGAACCAGCCAAGUAGCGUGAAGGAUGACUGCCCUACGGGUUGUAAACUUCUUUUAUAAAGGAAUAAAGUGAGGCACGUGUGCCUUUUUGUAGGUACUUUAUGAAUAAGGAUCGGCUAACUCCGUGCCAGCAGCCGCGGUAAUACGGAGGAUGCGAGCGUUAUCCGGAUUUAUUGGGUUUAAAGGGAGCGUAGAUGGGUUGUUAAGUCAGUUGUGAAAGUUUGCGGCUCAACCGUAAAAUUGCAAUUGAUACUGGCAGUCUUGAGUUCAGUUGAGGUAGGCGGAAUUCGUGGUGUAGCGGUGAAAUGCUUAGAUAUCACGAAGAACUCCGAUUGCGAAGGCAGCUUACUAACCUGCCACUGACAUUGAUGCUCGAAAGUGUGGGUAUCGAACAGGAUUAGAUACCCCGGUAGUC